CUAUGAAUGUAGUGUAGAAUUUGAAAACUAUCACAAACAUUAGUUAAGACAUGUUUCUAGUCUUUGGAUUUAGCGGGGUCUUUGUUUCCCCUAGUGUAAUUUGACAACGUUAAUUUUUGUGUUUAGAAUUUGAUUGUCAUUUUUUUUUGCAAUACACGUCCAUCUAUUUUUUUUUUUUGACAAUUGGUGGGAUAUGUGUCUGCUCUUGCAGCGAGUUGAUGUUUGGAUAUCUAGAAUGCUUGGUGAUAUACUUAAUACAAUGGGUAAGAGGAAAAUUCAGAUAAAUCAGAUUUCUUCAAUGAUCUAUCCUAUACUAUUUUUUAUUUUGGGCCCUGUUCAUAGAAUAUACAAAUUGAAUUGCAAAUCUAAUUUUCUGCCGCAUUUGUUUGAGUUAUGUGAUCUCUAGUAAAUUCUUUUUGUUUUAGUAUUUCUAUAUUGAUUAUGAGAGCUUAUAUUUCUUGAAAUGUUAUUUUCCUCAUUGGUAUUGCAAAAGAGGUAUUUCCUCGGUUCUAUCUUCCUUUUUUUCCUUGGUUACUAUGGUCUCUAAGUCUCUUGACAUUGAGUUGAGAAAGUUACGUUGAUGUUUAAUGGAAAAGUUCAGCCUUAGGGAUUCCUACCAUCAGUAUUCCUUUUAUUUUGAUCUGUAUUCUGACACGGAGAAGUUGGGGCAGCUUGAGUAACAGUUACAUGGAUUUUGAUGCACUACAUGAAGUUAGAUAGCUUUGUGGGCCUCUCUUUGUUAUUUUGAUCUGCGACUUGGGGAUUUGAUGAAUUAUGCUAUUAUUAUUUCUUUCUUCAUGGUUCUUUUUCUACGACCCAUUUGUCACCGCAUAAUUUUUUGUAUAUCUAUCAUGUGUUGACAGAGUAAGUGUUAUGUGGGUUUUGAUAUACUACAUAAAGAUUUGUAAUCAUACUGCUACUUUUUAAUUCGUCAUCCGAAGCGGAAAAAUUGGAGAGGAGUAUUUCUUCUGCUUUGUACUACUCUCCUUCUAUGGUUGAAUCAACAAGGGUAUGAACCAUAAUGAUAUCUCGAUGUGUGUUUCAAUUUGGUGAUCUCUACUCGUAUUAUGAAUUCUUUACAGCUCAGUAUUUUGUUUCAUCGGACACGUUUGAUUCCUAUCAUCUUUGGGAUAGAAGUUUGCAUUUUCCAUAAUACGUAAUUCUUCCCUUUGAGUUUCUGUAUUCUUAACAUGAAUUUUACUCUCGUUUAGAGCAUGCAAGAUUCUAGGGGUAACUGCACCCUUCCAAAAAUGAGGAAUUUUGGAUAAGUUGGUUAGGUGAGAUGAAAUUCUUUUACAUUUAUACUCAUAAAACAAUAUCUUCUGUUACAAUGGCCUAAGUAAGGGCUUUCUCUGUAUUAGGAGGUAGCUUAAAUUGUGAUGUGUCAUAUUGAGUACAAGAUCUUGUAGAUUGGAUGUAAAAACCAUCAUAUUUUGUUGAUUGUGUUGCUGUUAGUCAAUGAUAUUAUUUCCAUUAAUGUGAUGCUUAGAAUUAGCCUAAUAAUAAUUGUUUAUAUUUGUAAUUCCUAUUUAACAUGUAUAAAUUAGGUCAGCUCUCUACUAAGAAAGAUACUUUGUAUUUACAUCUUUUUUAUUGGUACUCAGCAAUUACAUAAAUCUUAUCCGAGGAAUUUUCUCUGUGGUUGUUAUAGGGGAGAGACAUGAUGAAUUUUUGGUGUUCUGUGGCCUGUAGCAAGCAGAGGUUAUCAUACUUUCCAUUCAAUUUUGGAUAAAUCUAGUCACGUUCUUACAAUGUGUUUGUUUUGGGAUUGAGGAUACUUGUUCUCUGAUGGUGUGUCCUGAUAGGUAUUGGAGUUUGUGGUUUUAUAUCAGGAAUUGGAACAUUAAAGCAUACAAUAUUUUUGAGUAUAUCUUUAUGCCUGCACUGAAGAUGAGGAAUUCAAGAGGCUUACUCUUUGUUCAGUUAGUUUUCACCAUUCUUUGUUCUAUUUAUCCUUGAUUUUUUAGUUUAAUUGAUUCUUGGGAGAGAAGGAAGAGACAGUCCAUGAAGGUGUAUCCUGGCAGUAUUGGAGUUUGUUUUGUAUCAUGAAUGUACUGAAGAUGAGGAAUUCAUGAAGCUUGGCGCCCUCUUUUAUAUUGUUGGUUUUCAUCUUUCUUUGUUUUUUGAAUUUAACUGAUUCUUAAGAAUCUCUAUUUUAUUUAUGUGCAGUCUUGGUUACUUUACUCUUCUGUACAGGAGGAAUAGCUUGGGGGAAUCACUUUGUUCCGCUGACCUCGUCUUGGUUUGUAAAAUUACACUUCCUUUUUAUUGACAUCUCCGUCACAGUUUUGUAAGGAAGAAUAACUUGCUGGAAUUACUUUGUUAUUGCUGCAUAGAACACCACAUAUUUCUUAGUGCAUAACAAACACACUGUUUUGAUAUCACUAACAUUGGUUUGAUGGGGAUUUCUACUCGGUUAUGUAUCCUUUGUGCUUCGGCUGAUUCUUUGUAUUUUAAUCUCUUGGAAAUUGUAAAUGUAGUGUCUUGCAUUAUCUAAGAACAGCCAAGAUUCUAGAAUCUAUCUCUUUGCUUAAACCAGAGUAAGGGACUUCUAUCUUCGUUCCUAUGUAGAUCUCAUCGAGCUUGGUACACACGUUGCUCAGUAGCUAGAAACUCUGUGUUAAUUCAUGUUUUUUGUGAGGUGUCUUAAUUACAGUAAUCAUGCACAUAUUUAUUCAUUAUGAUUUCUUUGUGCAUACUCACAGCGAUAAUAGGAGAAUAUAUGGUAUGUGGAAGCUUUGGGGUUUAUGCAAGCAUUGUAUUCAAGGUGAAAGGUUUUGGAUAGGAGCUAUUACUGUUUAUGUGAUAUUUGUAAGAACCUCCUCUGCCAAAUUGACGGCAUUUUGCUUGAGCAUGUACUAGGGGUGCCCCAACCUGAUUAGGUCCGCUCCGCUAAAGUCUUCAAAAAACAGCACGGGACUGGCAUAUAUGAGAGUGGGAUCUUAAAACUUUUGUCUGCUCCAAAAAAAAUGAGGAUGAGGCGGGCCUAUUGACACCACACUUUUUAAACUUAUCUAUGCUAUUAUCAGCACCCGUAAAAAGUCUGCAAAAAACGGGGUGAGGUGGUGAGGUAGGAUGGACACAUUUCACGGAGCGGGCCUAAAAUUAUGCCACACCCUGCAAAAAAGUGUGGUUAAAAUGGACAAUGUCCUGUUGGCCGAGGCAGUUUUACCACCCCUACGUCUAUGCCAUUGGUAAGGGAAGGAUAAUAUUAUCUCAUAUGUAUAUCAUCUCAGUUCAUAUAUUUUUCUGUGUCUUUUUUUACAAGUUCCUGUCUUCUUUCAAAUAGUUGUAUUCGUUCCGGAUGCAUAGCCAACAAGUUGAUUAACCAUUAAGCUUUCUGAUUGAUGUGAAUGAAUUUGCUAAAUAUUCACAACUGACCAAAUUUAUAAUAUUCACAACAGACCGAACCUAUAAUAAGCAAUGAAUUGUAAGAGAUUUUACAAAAAAAUAUAUUCUGAGAAAAUUGAAGUCCAUUGGAUUGUAAGAGAUUUUACUAAAUAGCUACGACAACUUGAAGAAUGAUUUGAAUUCUCUCGGCUGCAAAUUAAAGUUCAACUUUACAGAAGUUCUCUACUUGUGCUCUAAGUGUCAUUAGAACAUACUCCUUCUGGCUAUUAUUAUAAGCAAAUACUCUUUUUUAUGUACACCGGAUACAUUAAUUACUCAAUAAUUAUAAGCAAAUAUUCUCUUUUAUGUACACCGGAUACAUUAAUUACUCAAUAAAUCUAUUUUGCACUGAUGUCCAAAGUCGAAGCUGUUUUGAGUGAUCCAAAAUAAAUUGUGUUAUGAAGGAGUU